GCCGACCUAAAUUAACUUACACUAACCACGCCCGGGCAUUACGAGCUUAGCUUAAAACCCAAAGGACUUGUCGGUGUCCCACCCUACUAGAGGAGCCUGUUUUAUAAUCGAUACCCCCCGUUAUACCUAACCAUUUUUUAUCCGUCUGUAUAUCGCCGUCGUAAGCCUACCACAUGAAUGAAAAACAAUGGGCUUAAUAGCUUAACCUCUAUAACGUCAGGUCAAGGUGCAGCUUAUAAAAUGGAAAAAAUGGGCUACAAUUUCUAAACUAGAACAAACGAACUGCCACAUGAAAUAAAGUCACAAAGGUGGAUUUAAUAGUAAAUAGGGAAUAGAGAGCCCUAUUAAACCCGGCCCUGGGACG
rnacentral:rRNA from 1 species